rnacentral:rRNA from 1 species
AGCGAACGCUGGCGGCAGGCCUAACACAUGCAAGUCGAACGAGGUCUUCGGACCUAGUGGCGGACGGGUGAGUAACACGUGGGAACGUGCCCUUUGGUACGGAAUAACUCAGGGAAACUUGAGCUAAUACCGUAUGUGCCCUUCGGGGGAAAGAUUUAUCGCCAUUGGAGCGGCCCGCGUCUGAUUAGCUAGUUGGUGAGGUAAAGGCUCACCAAGGCUACGAUCAGCAGCUGGUCUGAGAGGAUGAUCAGCCACAUUGGGACUGAGACACGGCCCAAACUCCUACGGGAGGCAGCAGUGGGGAAUCUUGCGCAAUGGGCUAAAGCCUGACGCAGCCAUGCCGCGUGAAUGAUGAAGGUCUUAGGAUUGUAAAAUUCUUUCACCGGGGACGAUAAUGACGGUACCCGGAGAAGAAGCCCCGGCUAACUUCGUGCCAGCCGCCGCCGUAAGAC